rnacentral:misc_RNA from 1 species
AGAGCUUGCCUACACAAUGAAGGUUACUGAAAAAUGCGAUGUCUAUAGCUUUGGAGUGUUGGCGUUGGAAAUCAUCAAUGGAAAGCAUCCAAGUGAUUUAAUCUCUAGAAUUUCAUCACAAUCUGCAGACACUGAGGUAGAGAUGAACAAUAUGUUGGACCAAAGGUUAUCUCCUCCGACACAUGAAGUUGAAGACAAAUUGGCGUUCACCGUGACUCUGGCAUUCUCAUGCAUACGUAUGAACCCACAGUCCCGGCCGGCUAUGCAGUUUUGUUUCUUAGCUCUUGUCAAACUAACUUUGUUUUUCAGAGCCGUCACUGCCCUGUACUAUGCUAGCUGAAGCGCAAUUGCUGGGCAGCUGCUAUCUAAUUCCUCCACUUCAUCGCAAUGCACUUAUUUUCAUAGAGAAUAAUUAGCAACAGCUAAACCAAUUAAAAUUUAAGAAAUUAUGUUUUUAGUAGGACCUCCAUAUUUUUUGGUGGGAAACACAGUGAUUUUUAGUAAUGU